UACGUAGGGACCAAGCGUUGUUCGGAUUUACUGGGCGUAAAGGGCGCGUAGGCGGCCGAUCAAGUCGGGGGUGAAAGCCUGUGGCUCAACCACAGAAUGGCCUUCGAUACUGUUUGGCUUGAGACCGGAAGAGGUCAGUGGAACUGCGAGUGUAGAGGUGAAAUUCGUAGAUAUUCGCAAGAACACCAGUGGCGAAGGCGGGUCUCUGGGCCGAUACUGACGCUGAGGAGCGAAAGCGUGGGGAGCGAACAGG
rnacentral:rRNA from 1 species